rnacentral:tRNA from 1 species
AAAUAAUAAAGAAAAAGGCCAUUCCAUUUCGACAAAAGACCCACACCCAAGUUCCAUAGCUUUUGGUCCGCU